GUGAAUACAAACGCUUGAGUGUCUCUGCUUCGGCAAGCCUCUCGCACCCUUCACAUCCAUAACACCUGUGCACUGUAAGAUGAAAGAAACCCUGAUUGGGGCGCAAGCUUCUCCUGGGGUCUUCCGACAUCUGACCUUUUCAUACAAACAAUUAUAUGUAACAAAUGUAGUCUUAUUAUAACAAAAUA
rnacentral:misc_RNA from 1 species